CGCGCCCGUAGCUCAAUGGUAGAGCUGUAGCCUUCCAAGCUACCGGUGUCAGUUCGAUUCUGAUCGGGCGCU
rnacentral:tRNA from 1 species